UGAACGCAUUUAACCCAUUAUCCUCACUGCUUACUUCUAUGCCAGAAAAAGCCAUUCUGGCAAUGGUGUCCAGGUGCGUGAUGGUAAAUAGAGCAAAAGGUUUUAUUGCCACCAGACUUAUUGCAAAUACUACUUGAUUCUGCCGCUUUUCCUGCAUGAUGUACGAGUAAAGAUCCUGCUGCACAUUACAGUUCAUUACAUUGUGUGGGGGAAACACAUUUUUUAGUUAAGGUUUUCAUAUGGGAUGAAAAGGGGAUUUUCUGCCACCUCUAAUAGUAAAUAUAUUGUAAGCACAAGAGUCUGCCAUAAACUUAUUUAUACACCUUUGGUGAAAAAAAUGCUAGGUUGUAUCACAUCUCCUAUGAACCUCAACCUGCUCAAGGCUGCAUGAGGAUGAUGGGAGCUGCUGCCAUUAACAGCUGGAGGGCCUGAAUCACACAACCUUGCUCUACCUCUUUGUAUUAUUGUUUGUAUUACGUACUUUUACAGCCAUGGGCUCAUCCUAUGUAGGAUCCAUUUCAGAUCAUUACAAAUUGGUGUCCAAUGUUGGAUUAAGCUAGAAGUUUUCAGAUUCUUUAAAGCACAAAACUAAUUGGGUUUAUUUUACCUCCAACAUUAAAUGCACAAGUCCAAUGGUAACCCCCCCUAAGCUUGUGAAAUGGUUUUGUACUCUCAUGGUUAUCCACCUACUCUUCGUAUCUGCAUCUGUGAAUUCCUGGGGUGAGACGCAUUCUCGUCAGGCUUGGCAGCAGAGUUCUGGUUUCAGCUCCCUCACCAUUCACUCUGAAGGGCCAACACUUGACACUCCAGCAAGAAGGGCUUUGAUGGUCCUGUAUAAUGCAUAAUUAAGCGGGAGAGGAAAGAAAUCUCACUGGUUUAACUAUACAUUAUACAGGGCCAGCCAAGCUCCUCCUGCAGCAAAAGCUCGGUGGAGUUAGAUGUACAGUGAAGUGAAUGAGCUGAAACCUCACUGCCAACUCUCCUGACAGCCGUCCUUUUAGUGAAUAGACCUCAUGGUGGCGAGUUGAUUUCAGAAGAAUUAUGCAUUAUGAGGACCCUCCAUGUUAGGUAUUACCUGCAGAAAGAUCGGAUACUGCCUCUCAUAAUGCAUAUUUUAUAAUGUGAUUAUCUUUGCUACUUUUUAAUGAAUCAACUCCAGUGACUUGAAUGCUAUUCCCAUUGCAGCUUGUGAAGAGGAAAUGUUUCUUGGUGUAUAACUAUGGCCCUGGUUAGUUGGACAGAUCCUUGAUCUUUUGAGACUCGGGCAGUACGAUUUGACCUAUCUGAGGAGGAGCAGCUAAAUUGCGUGGUGUUUUUCCCAGUGCAUGACAGCUUCUUCAACAGCUUGCAGACCAUCAACACCAUUUAUAAUGGGAAACAGUCUCUGUAGCAUGUGGAAGACCAUAUGUCAGUGCCACAACAGUGAAGUUCCAUUUACAUUCUUUUACAAAAGCCAUAAAGUGAAAUUAUGGAUAAAGUAGAACAGUCUUGGAUGAAAGCAUUUAUAACUCAAAAACAUUUCACAUUACCAUAUGCCGUACCAUUAUUAGAUAUUCGAAGAAAAAAUCAUGAUAGUUUCCCUGUAACGUGGACUUCUGAUUUGCAUUGUUUGUGAUAUUAGCAGGUAAUAAGAUAUGCUGUGCUGAUGAAUGAUUAAAUAGUAUUCAUUAGCUUUCA